rnacentral:lncRNA from 1 species
GCAUACGGCGGCGAUGGGAGGAGUGAGAUUAGAAAAGGAGAGGAGCGAUGGCCACGAGAGGUCGUGACCAAUGGAAGGGUGUUCGUUCACAGUGGAGGAAGAAAAGUGUUCUGGAGGAAAGGUGGUGGUUGUUUACAGAAAUAGAGAUAAAAAUGGUGAUAAAUAAAUGAAAAAUGGAAGAAAGUGAGAGGGAGAGGGGGUAUGGACAACAAAAGCAAG